GGCUGCCCAGAAAUCUGAGAGAAAAUAAGACAUGUAAAGUCCUGCUCACCCAUGAAAGUUUCUAAAUACAGGAGCUCUGAUUCUAAAAUCAUCUCCAUUUAUAUUGGUUUAUCUUUUUAAGACACUUUGUUGUUUCAGAGCUACCUUGCCAUGAAGAUUCAUUACCUUUUCUUUGCUCUUUUCUUCCUUGGCCAGCUGUCUACCUCAGUUUAUCUUCUUCAGCAAGUUCUUCUUUCAGUUCAGAAUAUCCUCAAGCAGGAUGAGCCUGGAGAAAAACUGUGAAAUUAUUGGAGUUUACCUUUAAAACCAUAAAAUGAUAAGGGCCUGAUAGGGUUAAGAAUCAAAAGAAAGGAAUGGUGGGCCAGGCACGGUGGCUCACACCUGUAAUCCCAACAAUUUGGGAGGCCAAGGAACUGAAGAUGCUUAUGAAGUCAUUAGUAUCAUGGACUGUAAAAAUCAAACACUGUGUAAUUCUCAGAAUACAACUAGACACUGCUCUCAUGGGAAGGAGAUUGAACUAUGUGUCUUGCGUCUUGGAAAAAAUGCAAAGCGACUCACUAACCAUGAAGAAACAGCAAAUUAGGAAGACAGGAUGAUCAAUUUCCUUGUCUUAUUAAAAAAUAAAGUCUGCUUUCUUUUCUCUCUCCUUUUAUUCUCUAGUGACACAUUUAUUUAUUGACAGUUUGGACAAAAGUUUAUCAAGGAACUUUUCACGCUUAGGAUGAAUUACAACAAGAACCAACAUUUCUUUAGUUCCAGCAGCUCUAUGCAACUCAUUUUCAUCUAGCAUUACCUCUCCAAAACCUGAAUCUCCACAAGAAAGCCACACAGCAAUUAACCAGUGUUGCAAGAACUGCUUCUGUAAUAAAGGUGGGAAGACAAAUUGAUGCAACCCUCUUGAAAAGCAAUCUGGCAAUAUGAACCAAGAGCCAUGAAAAGGCUUAUGCUAUUAUAAUUAAAUGGCUGUAAUGUUGGCUGUAAAUAUGAAAUUUUCUUUCACACACCAAUGUUUUCAAGAAUGGCAUAUUCACAUGCAGUAUGUGAUGAAAGAAGCAGUAAAGGAUGCUAACAAAGCUAUUUCUUUGGACAAUCUGAACCUGACGGAGUCUUACUCUGUCGCCCAGGCAGGAGUGCAAUGGCACAAUCUUGGCUCACCACAACCUCCGCCUCCUGGGUUCAAGUGACUCUCCUGCCUGGCCAUAGAAGCAAACACAAACAUAGAGGAAUUGGCUUUGGGCAGAUGGAAGGACCUCAGAGAAAAGAAACAAAGGAAAGAAAACUGGAUGGAUAAAGGUUUGUAGAAAUACUAUUCACAGGAAGCAAAUAGGAAUUCCUUAUCGCUAAACAGACACUAAGUCAAUUGGUACUACCCAUUCUUAUUUAACAUGUGAGGAAACUGAAACCUGAAGAGGUCAUGGAAGUUCUGUGUGGCCACACCAAUGGUAGACAGCAGAACCAGAUUUCAAACCAGCUUUUUCUCCAGCAUUAUUCUUCAUGAGAAGAAUAAUUAAACUUAUUGUGUAAUAAAGUGUGUUUUUAAG
rnacentral:lncRNA from 1 species